UGCAAACAUUCCACACUUCUGUUGUUUUCUCUCACGUUGAUUUAACAGUGUUGAAUAUAGUUUUUUAAAAUACUUUUUUGUGGUAAGUGAUCAAGAACUUCGGAGCAUCGCUUGGAUUCCUGCAAAAAAAAGAUUCAGUACAGAAAUGGAGUCUCUAUCAUACAACUGGAACAGUGUGAAUGUUUUGGAUUCUGACGGUCGCGUUUUCCAUGGCCGCGUAGUGGAUGUCGCACGUGACGGGUUGUUAAUCGACUUUUUUUGUGAUGGGCGCCGGCAAGAACUUAUACAUUUCAACCGAAUUUUUUUGAACGAAAAAUAUCUGGAUGGAGUUGACCUCGCCAUGAGAUACGCGGCAUCAGAGGAACUUCCGCCAGUUGAGAUACUGGUGCGCGACAGUAUGUCUGGCCCGUUGAAAUGGAGUCCCGCCAAGCUGUUCAAUUUAUCUCGCGGCUUCGAACACCACAGUUACAAUUUAGUAGCCAUAUACUGCGGAGAAAAUGAGGAAAACGUGAAACUUGUGCCCUUGACGCACGUCCGCUGGAAGCAAGACCUUGAUGCUACUACUUUCGACAACGGUAACCCCCAGAGAACUGCGAAGCAAAAUCCCGUUAAGGAAGGAACUUUUAAAAAGAGAGCUUCUUUAUUGCCUGGUGGCUGUUCUUCGUAUUUCACAGAUGCUAUCCCUGCAUUCAACCGUACCAUCCAUCCUUUACCUAGCACGGGCGUUGCGGGCAUUGAAAUUAGGAAUGGGUGCAUGAUUUACCUUCAACGCAGUUUCAAAAACACGAACUCGUACCUUCAGGAUAUGUGGAUUGAACAGGAAAUUUUCAACUUAUUUUCUAAAAACCUCCUGGAUCACGCUCGAAGACAAGCGAUCCUGAAAACAGAAUCAUCAGGAGCAAUCUGUUUAUCCAACGGAAUAUCCACUAUUGCUUCUGAUCUGCUUCUAGAGAUAUUGUCGCAUUUGCCAACAAUUGUCCAGGCAAAACUGCGUGCAGUGUGAUUCAAAUGGAACACAAUCCUUACUUCUCCUUUGAUAACACGGUUUAUCAAACUAUACACAAUGGCUGAGGCCGAAAGGAUGGAAUCCCUUCGUAUCUACUUCCUGUUCGCACCUUUAUUCUACUGCUUUUCACCCUCAACCCAAGAAGUUAUUGUUACGGAUCCAGGUGGUUGGAUGACUGGUAGCAGUUUGUUGCAAGCGUUUGAAGCAGUUUGCUGCUGCGCUAUGUUACAAGAAGAAGAACUCAGACUGAAAAAUAUCCGUUUUUUUGGUGUGGAAUGCCGUUUUAUACACCAAAGCGGGUUUUCUUUCGACGAAAAUGGAUAUCUGAUUUCCACGCCACCUUUGGAGAAUGUAGGAGAUAUUCGUGUUGCAGAUUUAAAAUCUGCGUGCGCUAUUUUGCCGUGCAAGGACAUUUACUGGAAUAAAUGUACUGCCAUUUUGGACGGCGAGAUAUCUUUCGUUCUUGAUCCACGACUGCUUGAAUUGCUUGGCCUAAUCCAUAAAGGGACAACCAAAAUGCCAUGUGACCUUGGGCGCGAUUUGAAGGAGAAACUCUCUGAUCCCAGCGAUGAACAGGUUCAUCGCCUUUGCGGGUGGAUUGCGGCAAUUAAACUCUUUAACGAUUAAGUGCAACCAAAAAUUUAGUGUUUUCGAAACUAGGUGGUUUCUUUUGCAAAAAAAAACAUAUGUAAGCAAUCUUUCUAAGUUUCCGAGAAUUUGCUCUCAGGCCUUUUUCUUGUUUUAUAAUUCGUUCAAAUACCUAAUUUUCAAGUUCCGUAAUUAUCAGUAGC